GUACACGCUGUGACUAGCAUAUCAAUAAGCGGAGGAAAAGAAACUAACAAGGAUUCCCUCAGUAACGGCGAGUGAAGCGGGAAGAGCUCAAAUUUGAAAUCUUGAUAAGGUCACCUUUCACGAAUUGUAGUUUAAAGAAGUGUUUUCUGCUGAAGUUUUGGUAAAAGUUCUUUGGAAUAGGACAUCAUAGAGGGUGAGAAUCCCGUAUUUGACCAUUAUUUUCAGCUUUGUGAUACACUUUCAAAGAGUCGGAUUGUUUGGGAAUGCAGUCCAAAAUGGGUGGUAAAUUUCAUCUAAAGCUAAAUAUUGGCGAGAGACCGAUAGCGAACAAGUACCGUGAGGGAAAGAUGAAAAGAACUUUGAAAAGAGAGUUAAAUAGUACGUGAAAUUGUCAAAAGGGAAGCGUUUGACACCAGUGUUGUUUUCUCGAAAAUCAAUUAAAAAUGGCUCGAUUUUGUAUUGCUUGAGACCUUAAAAGCUCACUGUACAUUUUUCGUGUCUUUUUUUAAUGCACUUUUCGUUUAACAAGUCAACAUCAGUUUCUUUUGUUGUAAAAGGGUCAUUGGAAGGUGGCUUUCUUUUCGGAGAAAGUGUUUAUAGCCUUUGGCCUCUGCAAUCGAAGAGACUGAGGUCUGCAGCGUAGACUCUUCGGGGUUAGAUACAUUUGUGCUAAGUUAUAGCUCUUUAUAGACAACUUGUUGACUAUAAUUAGUCUUGUAGCUUACUCGCUUAUGCUAUUUUACCUACGCUUAGGAUGUUGAGUAGCGACAUACGCAC
rnacentral:rRNA from 1 species